AAGAAUUUAGUUAAUUUAUAACAUCAAUUUGUCAAAUUGAAAUAAAUAGCCACCUAUUAGUUUUUA
rnacentral:tRNA from 1 species